rnacentral:lncRNA from 1 species
GCAACCCGCACCUGCAGCGCCAGCCCAGCCAGGGCGAGCGCCUGCCCCCCAAGGGGCUGGUGCUGCGCGGCCCCUCGGCCGACCUGCAGCCCUACCUGGUGCGCGACCUCAACAGCUCCAUCCCAGUCCCAGUGGUCCCUCCAUCCCGUGGUAUCUCCAUCCCUAUGGUGUCUGCAUCCUCGUGGUAGCUCCAUCCCUAUGGUCUCUCCAUCCCAUGCUCCAUUGACCUCCAGUCCUACAUGGUGCGGGGCCUCAACAGG